ACCCGGAGCCGCGGGCAGUGACGACAGGGCCGCUCUUCUCUCCGGCCCUCAGCGGCCGUGCCUUCCCCAGCGCAAGGCAAAGCCGCCCUUCCUCAGCGGCACGCACCCACACGGCUUUGACCCACCCCUGCCAGCCUCCCCGCAGCUAUCUCACAGACUUCUUGUGUUUUCAACACCACGCUUCCCAAGCAGGGCCCGGCGCAGGCCGCGCCCGCAGGCCCGACACCACAGGGCGGCCCUGCGGCUCUGUCCCCCAGCCGCCGCCACCGCCGCCCCCGACCCGCGUCCGCCGCCCACCCCCCCAGCGCCCCGCGGGCCGGGCGAGACCCGCAGCUCCCGGCCCCGCGCCCCCCCGCCGCCCCACUAGUUCCUCUGCAGCGCCGGAGCCAAUCAGCCGCCUCCUUGCAUCGCCGCCCGCGCUGCUCCGGCUUGUAAGGCGCGGCGCCAUUCGCCAGGCCGGGCCCCGGGUCCGGACUGCAGGAACCUGGCGAUCAGAAGAGCCCGAGUUGGAGGGGAUCCACAAGGAUCAUCGAGCCCAGCUCCUGCGCUUGUCUUAGCUCACAGUGAGUGCUUCAGGAGCUGAAUCACAAUUAUUUCCUCCCAGUGUCCAGGAAAUAAAGACAUGGAUGAUGCCACACCUGUUCUCUUCAAAGAAAAUACUGUGCAAUAUCAAUCUCCAUAGACGUUCUUGAGGGAAACAAGUAAUUUUUCCAGAAGUAUCCUGUCCAAGCUUCAGAAAUGUAUUUCACUUCAGCAAUAACUUGCUAAAAUAUUAGGGGAAUAGACAGCAUUCCUUAACAUACAAUUGUGUUUUGCUGCCAUAAAUACCUGAUGUUUGGUGAUAGAAUUUUGUGAGCCUUGUCAGGGUAACAAUCACUGUCAUAACUGAAAAAUAAAAGAAUAAGACGACUCAUCUUCAUGCUUUGAAUACCAAGAGCUGAAUCAUAGUAAAUUGAUGCAGUUGAAACAUUAAGAAUAAAUUCAUUUUCACAUGUAUUUAUAGUGUAUAUGCAUGACUAGACACUGUGGAGUGCUAUUUCAGAGUUCUUCCUGCUGUUACCACAAGGAUGCAGCCCAUCCUGCUGGCAGCCCACUUUCAGGAUGUUUCAGGAUACCAGAACGAGUCAGAUGUGUGACAUCCAGCUGCUCUACAUGACUUGCCUACACCUUAAUACAGGUGUGGAAGUUGUUUGUGUCAGGCACUUGGAUUUGCUGGCUGAGGCAUAGACUUCAUUUUCUUCUUUGUCCUCCAAUGCUCUCAAGCUGCUAAUGAGAAUUUAAAUAACCUAAAUAAAUAAAUAAAGCAUCCCUGCUUACCAUCAUA